GACGAACGCUGGCGGCGCGCCUAACACAUGCAAGUCGAACGAGAGAUGAGGAGCUUGCUCUUCAAAUCGAGUGGCGAACGGGUGAGUAACGCGUGAGGAACCUGCCUCAAAGAGGGGGACAACAGUUGGAAACGACUGCUAAUACCGCAUAAGCCCACAGCUCGGCAUCGAGCAGAGGGAAAAGGAGCAAUCCGCUUUGAGAUGGCCUCGCGUCCGAUUAGCUAGUUGGUGAGGUAACGGCCCACCAAGGCGACGAUCGGUAGCCGGACUGAGAGGUUGAACGGCCACAUUGGGACUGAGACACGGCCCAGACUCCUACGGGAGGCAGCAGUGGGGAAUAUUGCACAAUGGGGGAAACCCUGAUGCAGCGACGCCGCGUGGAGGAAGAAGGUUUUCGGAUUGUAAACUCCUGUUGUUGAGGAAGAUAAUGACGGUACUCAACAAGGAAGUGACGGCUAACUACGUGCCAGCAGCCGCGGUAAAACGUAGGUCACAAGCGUUGUCCGGAAUUACUGGGUGUAAAGGGAGCGCAGGCGGGAGAACAAGUUGGAAGUGAAAUCCAUGGGCUCAACCCAUGAACUGCUUUCAAAACUGUUUUUCUUGAGUAGUGCAGAGGUAGGCGGAAUUCCCGGUGUAGCGGUGGAAUGCGUAGAUAUCGGGAGGAACACCAGUGGCGAAGGCGGCCUACUGGGCACCAACUGACGCUGAGGCUCGAAAGUGUGGGUAGCAAACAGGAUUAGAUACCCUGGUAGUCCACACCGUAAACGAUGAUUACUAGGUGUUGGAGGAUUGACCCCUUCAGUGCCGCAGUUAACACAAUAAGUAAUCCACCUGGGGAGUACGACCGCAAGGUUGAAACUCAAAGGAAUUGACGGGGGCCCGCACAAGCAGUGGAGUAUGUGGUUUAAUUCGACGCAACGCGAAGAACCUUACCAAGUCUUGACAUCCCUUGACGAUGCUGGAAACAGUAUUUCUCUUCGGAGCAAGGAGACAGGUGGUGCAUGGUUGUCGUCAGCUCGUGUCGUGAGAUGUUGGGUUAAGUCCCGCAACGAGCGCAACCCUUAUGGUCAGUUACUACGCAAGAGGACUCUGGCCAGACUGCCGUUGACAAAACGGAGGAAGGUGGGGAUGACGUCAAAUCAUCAUGCCCUUUAUGACUUGGGCUACACACGUACUACAAUGGCGUUAAACAAAGAGAAGCAAGACCGCGAGGUGGAGCAAAACUCAGAAACAACGUCCCAGUUCGGACUGCAGGCUGCAACUCGCCUGCACGAAGUCGGAAUUGCUAGUAAUCGUGGAUCAGCAUGCCACGGUGAAUACGUUCCCGGGCCUU
rnacentral:rRNA from 1 species